GGCUCCGCACAAGCAACAUCCGGUCGUCGAACUUUGACAAAACUUGUCGUUAUGUUAAUCACUUUAUAACGUUAUGUUAAUCACUCUAUAACGAACGUUAACUUAUGAAAUUAUAAUGAUUAUGAUGCUUUAUUUCACUAUGUCGUGGCUUCAAGUACAAAGUUCCGCUUCUAACGUCGCGACAACGCCAGCCUUUCUUCCUAUUCAGACAUGUUAUAAGAAGACACAGCAUUGGCUGCUGGGACGCAAGAAAUUGGGGACGCCAUCUUGAAGUGGUGAUGAGGAGCCGGCGAGCAGCCUAAACUGACAGUUGACAGGUGUUGCUGGUUGAAAAUGCGCUUCCUGUUUUGAUGCCGGAAACCGGAAAUAAGCGUCCAUAGCGUCUUUGUUCGAAAGGAUUCUUCAUUCAUCUCUCCAAACAACGUUUAGAGCCAUGAAGUCACCUGCCAAGUUCCCCGGGACUCCGACUUGUUUGUCCUUCAAAGCCUCCCCGUCUUCUCCCACAUUCCUGCGCUCUGACUUGUGAUUAUCAAG